GUCAACUACUCACCUGAGCUACUAACGGCAUCGGGAGGGCUAUUGCGAAAGCGAGCCCAGGUUGAUUAGCUUCAGCCACCAAUCUUCGGAUUGAUGGGGCUACGUUUACCAGAAAUAUAUAGGCACUACGGGAUUAGCCGAGUCCCGUACUCUGCGGGGCAUGAUUAAACAUCGCUGAGGGCUAGGCGAAGUGUUACGGCUGAAAACUCUGGUAAACAUUAGCGACGGCAACCACUU
rfam:Anaerolineaceae bacterium 4572_78 ex4572_78_scaffold_3605, whole genome shotgun sequence.